rnacentral:lncRNA from 1 species
AGGAUGCUGAGCGUGACCAACACGAGAAGUUAUUUGGAUGUCUACUCACUCAUCAGUGACUUUCUCGAUGCUGUAGUAGGUGAAUAGUUCUUUGAACUAUGGCAUCUCGACUGUUUACAAUGAGAUUGCUGUAGCUUGACUACACCAUAAUUUCAUCUCCUAGCCAUAUGAAGUCUUGAGGUAUAUGUUGGCUGCAGUAGGUUCAUUGUAGGAAUAGAGUGUGCACCU